rnacentral:tRNA from 1 species
UUUUUCGUGGUGUAUUAAACACAUCAACUUUUCGCGUUGGAGAUGAAUAAUUAUUCCGAGACUU